AGCUUUGCAUAGUGGCAGUAUCAUAGCCAAUGAGGUUUAUCCAAGGCACAAUUAUUGCUGGUUAUUGGUAAUUAUCCUACAGAAAUGAAAACUUACGUUCAUACAAACAUGUG
ensembl:snRNA RNU4-71P RNA, U4 small nuclear 71, pseudogene